GAUACGAAUCGUUAGGUGAGGCUCCUGUGGUGGAGAUAUGCUACUGCCCAGAAAUGUCCAAAGACGCCAAUGGGUUAACAAAAAUCAUCGAAUUAAGGUGUUUUUUAAUGUAGCUGGAACGAAUUCCUAUGCCCCACAGUGCUAAAGCUCUACGAAUGAGGGAUGUU
rnacentral:sRNA from 1 species